GCACUCGUAGCUCAACGGAUAGAGCAUCUGACUACGGAUCAGAAGGUUGCAGGUUCGAAUCCUGCCGAGUGCACCA
rnacentral:tRNA from 2 species